UUACAGCCUGUUAUGUAAUCUAUGACUGGCAGCUAAUUGGCUUAACUAGGCAUAAGGAAGAUUUGUUUUGGUUGUACCAUGCUUCCCGCUUGCCAAGUUCAACACUAGCCUUUAACAUGUAUUUUUGACUAGUAUGAUUUGGCAUUUGUGUUCUGUCUAGAUAGAUAAGUUGCUUUAGUUUUGAUUGCUGUAAAAAGCACCUUAUACACUCUGUAAAGUGGUUAGUACUAGGAAAGGCAUCCAGUUGUGGAAAUCAACGAAGCAGAACUCGUUAUAGUCCUUAGGUUUGCCAGCUCGUCAAACUGUCCAACCCAUACCAGCAUUAAAAUGUUGUGAAAUGAGGAUGUUUCUAUGAGCUUGUCCCCUUUUCUGCUAUGUUCACCUGUGGUAGAAUGUGCACAGACACGAGAUAGUUACCUGCAUAAUAUGAAUCUUGUUAUUAGGCACUCUUCAUGUUUGUUUCAUGAGUUACACUCUUGCGUGGCUUAGGACCUGUUGGGAGAGGGUAUUAAUUUUAGCUUAUAUUUUCCUAGAUUGAUUACUUUUACUGUAGCUAAGGGGCUCAGUCUACCCUUGCAAAAAUCUAUUUAACCCCAUAGAUGGGACCCUGACUGAUACUACUGUGACUCCACACUCCCCACAACUUCCAAACUGGACCCUUACCACUAGAUGCUUCACCAUAUCCUAUAUCCUUUUAUUGGUAUUGAAUACCUUUUCAUUAUACUAUAACAGAAAUUCUAAUCUCCAGAAUAAACCUUGUGAUGACACCCCUUACUGUUUGAUAUCUGAGUAUGUCACAACCCUUUGGUUAAAAGCCACUGGUUGUCUAUUUCUGGAUGGCCCUACCUGGGCCAGAUUGAUUUGGUUUGAGCUUAGUAGUAUCUGCUUGACUGCAGAUAUGUCACAACCCUUUGGUUAAAAGCCACUGGUUGUCUAUU